AUACAUUGUCACGUCAGAGGAGAGGCCGCCAUUAGCUGGUGAGGAGCGAGUGGGAGAAGGACACAAGGCUGCUGCUCAUGUCCGACGGAGGAAGGAGCGUGGGCCUGGCGUGAGGAGCGUCUGGAAGCGGAACGAGAGUAGUGUGUAGAGUUGGACGCCUGCAGGUCACCAUAAGGAGCUGAAGAUGUGACGAUCGCGGUCUUCGGCAUCAGAGGCUUGGUACUUAAGUAAGUUGGCGCGCAGGUCAUCUCGUCACAUUCCCGUCCCCACACCUGACACACGGCCAUCCUGUACCAAUUACCCUGCCGAUGGUGUGGCGUCACUCGGCCGUGGCGGGGUCUGGGUGUCGGCGUGUUCUGGCCGCCACAGGACACGGCAGCGGCCAGGGGGACGCUCAAUGAUGCAGGUACAGUCCAUCUCGCAGCGCUCAUAACAUGGAAAGCUACUCGCCUCGCCUCUACCUGUGGCUUGGGAGGCUUCCACUCAACCCUGCAGACACCACGCUGCUCCUCUCGCUUCCAUCCAACAGCCACCUCUUGAAUAUACAGUCAGAAAAUCCAAACCUCUUGAAUCCUGCCACUGCGCGAGGCCCUUCCCCCGGGGCCCCUCCCUGCACCACUCACUCGCAGCCAGUGUUGCUUGCGUGUCCAGACGAAAAGAUGGACAGACAGGUGGAGAGCUAAGUGACAUGCUCGUUGGCAUUGACGUGACAGACCACCACCACCACCACCACCACCACCACAGAUCAACCACCGAAGCCCCCCGCCACCCAUCGCAUUACACACUCGCCCGUAAGAGAACGAAUUAAAACCACACAAUUUAUUUAAGGCACUUACUUGCCAUCGCGUCCUCCCACCCUCUUCACGAUACUCUUUACCUGCCAGGCCGUGGAGGGUACCCGAGACUACCCCCGCAGCAGCAACAUGUUGAGAAACCGUCAAUAUUACAUGACCCGCAAAGAGCAGGAAUGACGCGGGUGAGCAAGGCUGGGGUGUGCGGCGUAUUAAGUGCUGGGAUGUGCCAUGCUCCCGCCCACGCGCACAAUACAACACCCACAACUCACAGUGCUAGUCAGUCUUUCCCAUACUCAUGUACAACUUUUGAAAGACUUAUUAUUUGUACUAUAGUCUCUUAUAAUGUAGUUCUGUGGCUUAGCAAAGAUUGAAUUAUCCUAAUGUUUUUUUUUUUUUUCUUUACGUUCAUCCAAAUGAUUUAUUACAGUGAUCUCAUUGUUAACAAAAGACGACCGUAGCAGUGAAAGGGUUAAGUACAGGCUGCAUUUCUUUAUGCUUUGAUUUGUUUCCAUGUGCACUUAGUUCAGCUAAUUUAUGUGGACUAUUAAGUAGCCUAUAAGUAGAAAUAUUUUUAUGUUAUUAUGCUUUAUACCUGAUCAUGUAAUUUAUCACUGUUAUAAUAUUGUGUUAAAUUUAAUUGCGAGGUUGUGGUCAAUAAACAUAUGUCUAUCUGUC